rnacentral:lncRNA from 1 species
UCUCUUUCAUCAAUUAAAACUUAAUAAUUAUAUAUCAUGACUACUCCUUUAGCCCAAAAAAUAUAAAAAAGAAAAAUCUUUACUAGCAGAAUAAAGCCAAGAGCUUAUAUAUAUACUAGUUAAGCGUACAUACAAAUACACGUAAUAAUUAUUUUAAUUUAUUUUAGAUCAAUAAAAAUUUGUAAAUCAUAUUAAUUUAUUCAAAAAUUUAGAAUAAAAUAUUUUAUAAAUUUAUCUGUUAUAUUUUAUUAAAAAAUAUUUAUAAUAUCAAUUUUAAAUUUGAAUAUAAAAUAGAUUGAUAGAUUUGAUAUUCAAAAUCAAAAAUUAAAUUUAAUUCAUGAUUUAAACUCAAAUUUAAAUUUUAAUGUAAGAUAGAUGGAUAGAGCAUAUUGAUAUUCGGGCAAAAAUUUGGAUAAGCAUGAAUUUAUUUCUAUUUUAGAGAUAAAAAGAAAUUAAACAAAUUUUGAAUUAAAAUAUAGAUUCGAUAUCUUUCAGUUGGCAAAAUUUGAAUAAGUAUAUAUUUUUUUUAUUUUAGAGGUAAAGAUAAAUUAAAAGUUUGUUUUAUUAUGUUAUUUAUUACGUAAGGAAAUAGGAAUCAAACUUUUUUUUCCGCCUAAAAAUGGGUUUGCCGACAUAUCGAAAUUUGAAAUACGUGCUAGAUAGUAUAGAUAUUAUAUUACAAUUAGAGAUAAAAACGAAUUAAAUAAAAAUUCACAGUAGAUAUUCUCAGAUUAGUAAAAAUUAGGAUAAGCAUAAAUUUUUUUUGUUGUAGAAAUAAAGAGAAAAUAAAAGUUCUUUUAAUUCUAUUAUUUAUUUUACGUAAGGAAAGAGGAAUUAAUUUUUUUUUCCGCCAAAAAAUGGGUCCGACGUCGACAAAUCGAAAUUUGAAAUACGUGCUUUUAUAUAUAGUAUAGAAGUAUAGAUAUACAAAUAUAAUUAUAUAGAGUUGAGCUAGAUUACUAUCGGUAGCAAACAGGCUCCGUUGCCACCCAUUUGU